rnacentral:tRNA from 1 species
GGGGCUGUGGCUCAGUGGUAGAGUGCUCACCUAGCAUGUGGAAGACCCUGGGUUAGAUCCUCAGCACCA